rnacentral:lncRNA from 1 species
CCCCCCUUUGCAUUUGACCCAAAGUUUUUGAAACAAGUUUUUCUAAGUCGAAGGUGAUUGUUUUGAUGAGAGAAAGAAAGUUUUGUGAGUUGGGGGAUCUUUAUGAAUUUUUAAAAAAAUUCCUGUGGUACUCCCAUUUUUAAAAACAAAAUAUGAAUUUUUCUGUUGCAUCCUUCGUCUGGUAUCAGUUAGAUAAGAUAUGUUGUCAGUUGAUAUGUGCAAAUAACUAGAUUAAUAUCUUUCAUUGUUUAGGUAUUUUGUUCCAAGAGAAUUUGGAUCAGUGAUCAGUCCUCAAAGUUGAACCGGAUUACAUGACAGGAAAAGAAAGAUAAAUUAUUUUAUACCAAAAAGAAUCAUCUACAGUCGCUGUCUUGAAUCAUUUAAAUAAGGUUAGUUUAUAAAACGCCUUCCAGGCAAUGUGGCAUGAAAAUUUUAAAUUCUGAAUAAUAUGUUAUCCCUUGGGGAAUUCAUCCAAUCUAAGCCAAUAAAUGCAAAGCCCUAUGUCAGUGAGCAUUUUUUAUCAGUUGAAAGUAAUUGUUUUGAUGAGAGAAAUAAAUGCUUAUCGACAAUUUUCAGAAAGUUUGGAAUAAUAGUUCCGGGCCUUUUUUAUUUAAAAAAUUCCUGUGCUCUCCCUUUGUUGAGCACAGAUUGCCACUUGCCUGUGGUUGGCCCGCUUUGCAAAAUGUUUUAAAACGUGUUUUUAUCAAUUGAAAGUGAUUGUUUUGAUGAGAAAAUGUGUCUCAAUGUUUACUUUUUGUCCAUUUUGACGUAAAGCAACAAAAAAGCAAGGCUAUUUUGAUUGACGAUUUUUCAUCGCUAGCUUUUGAAAAAAAAAGAAAGAAAUGGGUUGUUCCAGAAAAGAUCCACACUCCCCCCACGGAGGAAAUUUCUGCCGUCCGGAGGGGGAGGGGAGACAAAAUUGUUUCUGAUAAUAGUAAAUGUAUUAGGACAUCCGAGGGGGUAGGGCGAUUAACUUCCAAUUUCCUCCGUGGGGGUGGUAUGGAUGUUUACUGGGAUGACCAAAAAAAGAAAUUGAAGAAAUCACUUCACCAGAAGAACAAAGUGAUUUCAAACGCAAAACAAAAAAAAAAAGAAAGAAAUUGAAGAAAUCACUUCAACACAAGAACAAAGUGAUUUAAAACACAAAACAAAAAAAAAAAGAAUGAAAUUGAAGAAAUCACUUCAACAGAAGAACAAAGUGAUUUAAAACGAAAAACAAAACAAAAAAGAAAGAAAUUGAAGAAAUCACUUCAACGGAAGA